GCCUGGGUGGUUCAGUCGGUUGAGUGACCGACUUUGGCUCAGGUCAUGAUCUCAUGGUUUGUGGGUUCGAGCCCCACGUCAGGCU
rfam:Felis catus isolate Cinnamon breed Abyssinian chromosome A3, whole genome shotgun sequence.